GAAAAAACCUAUUCAUACUUAUGAAGUUCAAUAUCAUUUAGAGCUGUACUUUGUGGCAGUUAGUGGCAUUGCAAGAUUGUCUACAGAAGACCAUAUGACUUUGCAACUGGCAAGAACGGUCGUCAAUAAUCAACGCUUAGUAUUCAUCAGGGCCGGCUAGCUCAGUUGGUAAAGCGCUGGACGACAUAUCCGAGCUCGAUCACCGACAAGAAAAGGACUUGUCUGAGCUCUGAAAUCCCAAUACAGUUACACAUAUAUUAUGUGAAGAACAGACUGGGUGUCGCGCAUAAGAACUGCAUAUCUACCGCAAAUGUCAAGAACCCAAAGGUCUAACAAUGCGGACGGAACAUCAUUCAUGUACAAUUGAAGAGGAAACAUCUAAG